rnacentral:rRNA from 1 species
AUUGAACGCUGGCGGCAUGCCUUACACAUGCAAGUCGAACGGCAGCACGGGAGCUUGCUCCUGGUGGCGAGUGGCGAACGGGUGAGUAAUACAUCGGAACGUACCCUGAAGUGGGGGAUAACGUAGCGAAAGUUACGCUAAUACCGCAUAUUCUGUGAGCAGGAAAGAGGGGGAUCGCAAGACCUCUUGCUUUAGGAGCGGCCGAUGUCGGAUUAGCUAGUUGGUGAGGUAAAGGCUCACCAAGGCGACGAUCCGUAGCGGGUCUGAGAGGAUGAUCCGCCACACUGGGACUGAGACACGGCCCAGACUCCUACGGGAGGCAGCAGUGGGGAAUUUUGGACAAUGGGCGCAAGCCUGAUCUAGCCAUGCCGCGUGAGUGAAGAAGGCCU